UCGGGUAUGGUGUAGCGGUAACAUCGUUGACUCUCACUUGCUUUACAAAACAAGUGUCUGUUUUCUCAACAGCCCCGGGUUCGACUCCCGGUAUCCGAG